CCUACGGGGGGCAGCAGUGGGGAAUAUUGGGCAAUGGGCGCAAGCCUGACCCAGCAACGCCGCGUGAAGGAAGAAGGCUUUCGGGUUGUAAACUUCUUUUAUCAGGGACGAAGCAAGUGACGGUACCUGAUGACUAAGCCACGGCUAACUACGUGCCAGCAGCCGCGGUAAUACGUAGGUGGCAAGCGUUAUCCGGAUUUACUGGGUGUAAAGGGCGUGUAGGCGGGAGUGCAAGUCAGAUGUGAAAACUAUGGGCUCAACCCAUAGCCUGCAUUUGAAACUGUACUUCUUGAGUGCUGGAGAGGCAAGCGGAAUUCCGUGUGUAGCGGUGAAAUGCGUAGAUAUACGGAGGAACACCAGUGGCGAAGGCGGUCUGCUGGACAGCAACUGACGCUGAGGCGCGAAAGCGUGGGGAGCAAACAGGAUUAGAUACCCCAGUAGUC
rnacentral:rRNA from 1 species